GACAGAGGGUGCAAACGUUGUUCGGAAUUACUGGGCGUAAAGCGCGUGUAGGCGGCCAUGCAAGUCGGAUGUGAAAGCCCUCGGCUCAACCGGGGAAGUGCACUCGAAACUGCAAGGCUAGAGUCUCGGAGAGGAAAGCGGAAUUCUCGGUGUAGAGGUGAAAUUCGUAGAUAUCGAGAGGAACACCGGUGGCGAAGGCGGCUUUCUGGACGAUUACUGACGCUGAGACGCGAAAGCGUGGGGAGCAAACAGG
rnacentral:rRNA from 1 species